UACAGAGGGUGCGAGCGUUGUUCGGAAUUACUGGGCGUAAAGCGCGCGCAGGCGGCUUUCUAAGUCCAUCGGUCAAAUGCCGGGGCUCAACCCCGUGCCCGCCGAGGAUACUGGGAGGCUGGAGACACGUAGAGGCAAGCGGAAUUCCGGGUGUAGCGGUGGAAUGCGUAGAGAUCCGGAAGAACACCGGAGGAGAAGGCGGCUUGCUGGGCGUGAUCUGACGCUGAGGCGAGAAAGCGUGGGGAGCGAACAGG
rnacentral:rRNA from 1 species